rnacentral:tRNA from 1 species
GGGCGCAUAGCUCAGUCUGGUUAGAGCGCCACGUUGACAUCGUGGAGGUCAGUGGUUCGAACCCACUUGUGCCCACCA